ACUGAUUGAUUUGGUCGCCAACGAGUGGCGGACGGGUGAGUAACACGUAGGUAACCUGCCCAGAAGCGGGGGACAACAUUUGGAAACAGAUGCUAAUACCGCAUAACAACGUUGUUCGCAUGAACAACGCUUAAAAGAUGGCUUCUCGCUAUCACUUCUGGAUGGACAUGCGGUGCAUUAGCUUGUUGGUGGGGUAAUGGCCUACCAAGGCCGAUGAUGCAUAGCCGAGUUGAGAGACUGAUCGGCCACAAUGGGACUGAGACACGGCCCAUACUCCUACGGGAGGCAGCAGUAGGGAAUCUUCCACAAUGGGCGCAAGCCUGAUGGAGCAACACCGCGUGAGUGAAGAAGGGUUUCGGCUCGUAAAGCUCUGUUGUUAAAGAAGAACACGUAUGAGAGUAACUGUUCAUACGUUGACGGUAUUUAACCAGAAAGUCACGGCUAACUACGUGCCAGCAGCCGCGGUAAUACGUAGGUGGCAAGCGUUAUCCGGAUUUAUUGGGCGUAAAGAGAGUGCAGGCGGUUUUCUAAGUCUGAUGUGAAAGCCUUCGGCUUAACCGGAGAAGUGCAUCGGAAACUGGAUAACUUGAGUGCAGAAGAGGGUAGUGGAACUCCAUGUGUAGCGGUGGAAUGCGUAGAUAUAUGGAAGAACACCAGUGGCGAAGGCGGCUACCUGGUCUGCAACUGACGCUGAGACUCGAAAGCAUGGGUAGCGAACAGGAUUAGAUACCCUGGUAGUCCAUGCCGUAAACGAUGAGUGCUAGGUGUUGGAGGGUUUCCGCCCUUCAGUGCCGGAGCUAACGCAUUAAGCACUCCGCCUGGGGAGUACGACCGCAAGGUUGAAACUCAAAGGAAUUGACGGGGGCCCGCACAAGCGGUGGAGCAUGUGGUUUAAUUCGAAGCUACGCGAAGAACCUUACCAGGUCUUGACAUCUUGCGCCAACCCUAGAGAUAGGGCGUUUCCUUCGGGAACGCAAUGACAGGUGGUGCAUGGUCGUCGUCAGCUC
rnacentral:rRNA from 2 species